rnacentral:snRNA from 1 species
AUUAUAUUACUGAAUAAUAAAAACUCGGAAAAAUAGAGAGAAGAUUUACAUGCCCCUGAUCAAGGGUGCGUGCGAAUUUAUGACAUGUGUUCUACUUUU